rnacentral:rRNA from 1 species
CCUACGGGAGGCUGCAGUAGGGAAUCUUUCACAAUGGGCGAAAGCCUGAUGGAGCAACGCCGCGUGCAGGAUGAAGGCCUUCGGGUUGUAAACUGCUUUUAUAAGCGAGAAAUAUGAUGGUAACUUAUGAAUAAGGAUCGGCUAACUACGUGCCAGCAGCAGCGGUCAUACGUAGGAUCCGAGCAUUAUCCGGAGUGACUGGGUGUAAAGAGUUGCGUAGGUGGCAUAAUAAGUAGCUAGUGAAAUCUGGUGGCUCAACCAUUCAGACUAUUAGCUAAACUGUUAAUCUCGAGACCGUUAGGGGUAACUGGAAUUUCUAGUGUAGGAGUGAAAUCCGUAGAUAUUAGAAGGAACACCAAUAGCGUAGGCAGGUUGCUGGGACGGUUCUGACACUAAGGCACGAAAGCGUAGGGAGCAAACGGGAUUAGAUACCCGAGUAGUC